CACUCUAUGGAGACCUACUUUAUAUAGAGUACAUGGAGACCCUCAAUCUAACCCUUAAAUUCAAAGCUUAUCCAACAACUGUGAUUUAAUUAAAUAAAACAGUUGAGAAACAACAGCUGUUAUCCUGUUACGCACACUACACGCACUUGCAUAGAUAGAGAGAGGGAGCGAGAGAAUGGAAGAGAGCGAACCAGAGAGGUUAUCCUAAGCAUAGUUUAUCAGAUUUGAACUUUUUUUCGUGGAUUAUCCCGAGCAUUGAGCCGGACAUGUUCGGAAGAGGAAAUUAGCAGGACAAUUAGUCAAUCCUGACAGGCCGGAAGAUUUUAAUCAGGCUCUUAUGAAACUUGGUGCCACAGUAUGCAUUCUACAUAAUCCAAGCUGCUCCACAUGCCCGGUCUCAGGUCAAUGUCGUGCGCUGCCAGUAUCAAGACAUGAUAGAUCAGUAUCUGUCAAGGAUUAUCCACCAAAAGUUUUCAAGGCUAAGGGCAUGAAUUUUCUGCCGUCACUGUUGUGAAAAUAAUAGAAGAUGAAGCCCUGAUGGAUCAACCACAAUGUAAUAGUAUAUUCCUUCUUAUAAAGAGACCAUAUAAAGGUUUACUUGGCCUUGGUAGUUUCCAUCUGUUCCACUAAUUGGCAAGGCAGACUUGGUCACAAAGAAAGAUGCAAUCGACCAAUAUUUGAAGUCAUUUGAUCUCGAAUCUGGAAGUACCUGUGAAGUAAUUUUUAGAAAAGAUGUAGGAGAAUAUAUACAUGUGUUCAGUCACAUAUGUCUCAAGAUGUAUAUAGAGUUGCUGGUUCUACAUCUAAAAAGGUUCUACCCAAAGGCACGAAGUGUGUGAAUCUGGAAAAAGAGAACAUGGAAAAAAAGUAUGUUAAUAGCAAGGACGUCGCAAGCCUAGGACUAACAUCUGGAGUGAGGAAGGAUACACAAAUGGAGCUAUGGAGAUAUUGCAUGUGAUGAGUAUCACAAACACAAGGAAGAUGUCCAUCUGAUGGCAGAGACAGGCCUAGGGGCAUAUAGGUUCUCUAUUUCAUGGUCAAGACUUUAUUCCGAGUAUAGAUCAGUAAAAAGUGCAUAUUACCGCGAAGCAGUGGGAGCAAUGGUAGUAUAUGACAUGACAAAGCGGCAGUCAUUUGAUCACAUACCUGGAUGGCUCGACGAAGGGUGCAUGCUGACAAGAAUAUUGUAAUUAUGCUCAUUGGCAACAAAUCUGACUUGGGAAGUCUUAGAGCAAUACCAACUGAGGAUGAUCAGCAGCUCGCAGAGAAGGAAAAACUAUGCUCUGUGGAGACAUCAUCCUGUGGGGCAACUAACGUCGAGACUGCCUUUCUGACGGUUUUAACAUAAAUAUAUAAUAUAACAGGCAAAAAGACCCUCACUGCUAGUGAUGUGGAUUAUGCAAAGUCUUCAACUCUCAAGGGAACCAGUAUAGUCAUUCGUGGCCAGGAGCGGAAUACUACUGCAAGUAGUGGUGGCUGUAGCACAUAAAUCUUUAUCUUUUUCCUUUAAGGUCAUGUUUUUUACUUAGGAAUAUAAGUAUGUUAGGUUAGGAUAUUACUGUUCAAACAAAAAUUUUAAAAUUUUCAGCCAAAAAGAUUUUCUGCAAUGUAGCCAAGCCAGGCUCAAAGUAAGUCUUUUUUGUUUGUACAAGAUCAUUAGUAUAUAGUGUAUGGUUUCUUUCAUAAAUAGAAGAUCUUUGCAGUAUUGCAAUAACUUCUU